rnacentral:rRNA from 1 species
GUUGUAUGGUUAAGUGACUAAGCGUAUACGGUGGAUGCCUUGGCAGUCAGAGGCGAUGAAGGACGUAGUAACUUGCGAAAAGCGUUGGCGAGCUAGUAACAAGCAUUUGAGCUAACGAUAUCCGAAUGGGGAAACCCACUCACAUAAGUGAGUAUCACAUACUGAAUACAUAGGUAUGUGAGGCAAACCCGGGGAACUGAAACAUCUAAGUACCCGGAGGAAAAGAAAUCAACCGAGAUUCCCCUAGUAGCGGCGAGCGAACGGGGAUUAGCCCUUAAGUCUAUGGGGUGUUAGUGGAAUGAGUUGGAAAGCUCAGCGGCACAGGGUGAUAGCCCCGUACAUGAAAACUAACCAUAGAUGAAAACGAGUAGGACGGGACACGUGACAUCUUGUCUGAACAUGGGGGGACCAUCCUCCAAGGCUAAAUACUCCUGACUGACCGAUAGUGAACCAGUACCGUGAGGGAAAGGCGAAAAGAACCCCUGUGAGGGGAGUGAAAUAGAACCUGAAACCGUAUACGUACAAGCAGUGGGAGCGGUCCUUGAGACCGUGACUGCGUACCUUUUGUAUAAUGGGUCAGCGACUUACAUUUUGUAGCAAGGUUAAGCGAAUAGCGGAGCCGUAGGGAAACCGAGUGUUAACUGCGCGUUUAGUUGCAAGGUGUAGACCCGAAACCGAGUGAUCUAGCCAUGGGCAGGUUGAAGGUUGAGUAACAUCAACUGGAGGACCGAACACACGUAUGUUGAAAAAUGCGGUGAUGACUUGUGGCUGGGGGUGAAAGGCCAAUCAAACUCGGAGAUAUCUGGUUCUCCUCGAAAGCUAUUUAGGUAGCGCCUCGUACGAAUACCAUUGGGGUAGAGCACUGUUAAGGCUAGGGGGUCAUCCCGACUUACCAACCCUUUGCAAACUCCGAAUACCAAUGAGUACUAUACGGGAGACACACGGCGGGUGCUAACGUCCGUCGUGAAAAGGGAAACAACCCAGACCAUCAGCUAAGGUCCCAAAGUUAUUGCUAAGUGGGAAACGAUGUGGGAAGGCUUAGACAGCUAGGAUGUUGGCUUAGAAGCAGCCAUCAUUUAAAGAAAGCGUAAUAGCUCACUAGUCGAGUCGGCCUGCGCGGAAGAUUUAACGGGGCUAAGCAAUACACCGAAGCUAUGGGUUUGCUAGUUUACUAGCAAGCGGUAGAGGAGCGUUCUGUAAGCCGUUGAAGGCGAAGGGGUAACCCACGCUGGAGGUAUCAGAAGUGCGAAUGCUGACAUGAGUAACGAUAAAGGGAGUGAAAAACUCCCUCGCCGAAAGACCAAGGUUUCCUGUCCAAUGUUAAUCAGGGCAGGGUAAGUCGACCCCUAAGGUGAGGCCGAAAGGCGUAAUCGAUGGGAAACGGGUUAAUAUUCCCGUACUUCUACUAACUGCGAUGGAGAGACGGAGAAGGCUAGGCUAGCGCGGCGUUGGUUGUCCGCGUUUAAGGCUGUAGGCUGUUCACUUAGGCAAAUCCGGGUGAACGCAUUAAAUUGCAAAGCUGAGAGUUGAUGACGAGUCCCCAAGGGGAUGAAGUAGUUGAUGCCAUGCUUCCAGGAAAAUCUUCUAAGCUUCAGGUUAGUAGGAAUCGUACCCCAAACCGACACAGGUGGUUGGGUAGAGAAUACCAAGGCGCUUGAGAGAACUCGGCUGAAGGAACUAGGCAAAAUGGUACCGUAACUUCGGGAGAAGGUACGCUGCCGGCGGUGAUGGGACUUGCUCCUUAAGCUGCUGGCAGUCGCAGAUACCAGGUGGCUGCAACUGUUUAUCAAAAACACAGUACUGUGCAAACUCGCAAGAGGAAGUAUACGGUAUGACGCCUGCCCGGUGCCGGAAGGUUAAUUGAUUGGGUUAUCUUCGGAGAAGCUCAUGAUCGAAGCCCCGGUAAACGGCGGCCGUAACUAUAACGGUCCUAAGGUAGCGAAAUUCCUUGUCGGGUAAGUUCCGACCUGCACGAAUGGCGUAAUGACGGCCACGCUGUCUCCAGCCGAGACUCAGUGAAGUUGAAAUUGCGGUGAAGAUGCCGUAUACCCGCGGCUAGACGGAAAGACCCCGUGCACCUUUACUAUAGCUUGGCACUGAACAUUGAACCUACAUGUGUAGGAUAGGUGGGAGACUUUGAAGCAGAGACGCUAGUUUUUGUGGAGUCAACCUUGAAAUACCACCCUUGUAGUUUUGAUGUUCUAACUCUGGCCCCUGAAUCGGGGUUGAGGACAGUGCCUGGUGGGUAGUUUGACUGGGGCGGUCUCCUCCCAAAGAGUAACGGAGGAGCACGAAGGUUGGCUAAGUACGGUCGGACAUCGUACGGUUAGUGCAAUGGCAUAAGCCAGCUUAACUGCGAGACAUACACGUCGAGCAGGUACGAAAGUAGGUCAUAGUGAUCCGGUGGUUCUGAAUGGAAGGGCCAUCGCUCAACGGAUAAAAGGUACGCCGGGGAUAACAGGCUGAUACCGCCCAAGAGUUCAUAUCGACGGCGGUGUUUGGCACCUCGAUGUCGGCUCAUCACAUCCUGGGGCUGAAGUCGGUCCCAAGGGUAUGGCUGUUCGCCAUUUAAAGUGGUACGCGAGCUGGGUUAACGUCGUGAGACAUCUAUCUGCCGUGGGCGUUGGAUGAUUGAAGGAAGCUGCUCCUAGUACGAGAGGACCGGAGUGGACGAACCGCUGGUGUUCGGGUUGUUAUGCCAAUAGCAUUGCCCGGUAGCUACGUUCGGAAUCGAUAACCGCUGAAAGCAUCUAAGCGGGAAGCGAGUCCUAAGAUGAGUCAUCCCUAGGAAUUUAAUUCCUCUAAAGAGCCGUUCGAGACUAGGACGUUGAUAGGCAGGGUGUGUAAGCGUUGUGAGGCGUUGAGCUAACCUGUACUAAUGACUCGUGAGGCUUAACCAUACAACCCAGAUGGGUUUGU